rnacentral:lncRNA from 1 species
GAUACCAAGUUCAAUUUUAACGAAGCUCUUUUAGUUCCAAGAAACAGACACAGCCAGACCAGUCUGAAAAUUUUUAUUUUCUGAAAAAUGUAACUUGUAAGAACACACGUAGAGCAAAAGGGAGAAACUUGGAAAUUUUUACGCAAGUAAGCCAGGCUGAACCUCCUAAUGCAUGAGGACUGGGCUGGUCCUUGUUUCACAGGGUGGACUCUAGAGUCGUCCUUGCAUCCCAGAAUUUGAGACCUAAUCCAUGAUUAAUCUUGAAACUGCUCCAGUGUGUUUGAGAGAACAGGCAUUCUCUAACUGACGCAAAGUUGUAUAAAACACCUAAGUAAAACCAUUCUUGAAAGGACACAUGAACAAAUUGAACCAGUCAGAGGGGAAAGAUCAGGAUGAUGAAGUGACUCAGAAAUCAGGCUUGUAUGAAGUUGCUGAUAUCCUGUACUCAGAGCCCACUUCACGUUAAUGGAAACUAGAAUAAUUUUUAAAAACAACUUAAAUGAAAGAACUGUAAGUUUUGAUGUUAUAAGUGCUUCUCUCAAGAUGUUUUCAAGUCUUCUCUAAGGACAAGUAACAAUACACUUCAUCUACAAGAGUUUCCAAUAUUUUUAGUGUAACCAGUAACAGUGACAGCGACAUAAUGAAAACAAUCAUCUUGAAAAGAAGAACAGAAAUUUGUAAAGAAUAUGUGUUUUCUUCUAUUUAA